GUCACCAACAUAUUGUGUGUGAAAUAUGUGGGACCAAGCGGCAUCUUCGCACAGAUAAAGGGGCCUACUUCGGAUAGAAUGAAAUUCAUGUCAUCUGGCUCUCUUACAUUCUCCAAGAUCCAGGCUUACUCCGGACUUAGGAGAUGCCCUUUGAUGUGAAGACUCAUACUUGCACAAAUAUAACAAAAUCUUUUGUUCCACGAGUUAGUAGUAAGGUCUGCUUACACUUUACCCUUCUCAUUCACGGGGUAUGUUGUUGGCCUCCUCUUCUUUCAAAGAAUCUGGAGGAAUUGAAUUCAUGUGUAUUGUAGACAGAUCUUUUGUCAUUAUUUAAUUCAAGAAGUGAAAUUGUUGGUGUGCCCAAAUGCACAUGUCCAAUCAAAUACAUGUAUUGAUAGUAUAUGUGC